GUGCCAGCAGCCGCGGUAAUACGUAGGGUGCAAGCGUUGUCCGGAAUUAUUGGGCGUAAAGGGCUCGUAGGCGGUCCGUCACGUCGGGAGUGAAAACUUGGGGCUUAACCCCAAGCCUGCUUCCGAUACGGGCGGACUAGAGGUAGGCAGGGGAGAACGGAAUUCCUGGUGUAGCGGUGAAAUGCGCAGAUAUCAGGAGGAACACCGGUGGCGAAGGCGGUUCUCUGGGCCUUACCUGACGCUGAGGAGCGAAAGCGUGGGGAGCAAACAGGAUUAGAUACCCUGGUAGUCC
rnacentral:rRNA from 1 species